rnacentral:lncRNA from 1 species
AGAGCAGAACUUGGACUGAGUCCUGCAGGACACAGGUUCCGCCGAGCCCGUCCCUUGGCGGUGGUGUCACUGGAUGCUGGGAAGAGAUGGUGGGAAGAGCCUCCAUCCAUUGGCGCGUCACUAAUUAGACAAGGAGGCCUUGGGCUCCCUUGAGAGAGUCACGGUUUCUCCUCCGUUGACCCGCCCUUCAUUGAACUCCUUUACUUGGAUAUUCAGAGCGCUGGACAGAGAUCACUUGGCGCUAACACCCUCGGAGGUCCUCACGGCGCUCCGUCGGAAUGACACAGUCGGAUUCCCAAGCUGCGAAGGGUGAGGGAGGGACUGCAGCGCAGGAACUGAGGAGGAGAGGCCCGCGCGCCCACUGGAGCCGAGCGGUGAGGAAUAACCGGACCGACCCCCGACGGUGCGUGACAGGCUAGAGCAGCGGCGCUAUCAUAGCUCACUGCAGCCUCGAACUGGUGAACUGGAGGGAUCUUCCCAACCAUCUUUUGUCUUUUUUAAGAAGAAAAAUACAAAAGCUUUUAUAUAGGCUUACACACAGCUACAGAGCAAAUCUUUAUCGUAUAUCCAAGAUUAUCAACCACUUGACUGUACAACCAGGAAUCAUAACACAUUUGAGAACAACCAGUGGCAAAAUAGGAAAAUGGGCCAAUGAAGAAGAUAGGUGACUAAUAAAUAAAAAUCUGAUAUCAAGUGUAGGCAAGUUGUAGGGAAAAUGGGUGAUGAACGAAUAGAACAAAUGCCUGGGGUAAACAUCAUUCGAAAGCCCAGAAAGAAGCUUUUAGACAUCUUUAUUGCUUUUUGGGGGGGCGGGGGGGGUGGGGUUCUGGAGGAUUGAUGGCUGAACUCUCAUGAAAAGGGUGCAGUCAGAGAACAAGAAAGAGUUCCCAGGAAUUAAAAUUGUAAACAGAAAAGCAAAUUCAGGGUAAUUGCUGAAAGACCCACCAAAGGAUCUCCAAGAUACAAUUGAGAAAAUCAACCCUAACAUAAAGGCAAAAGACAAAGGUGGGUUAUUUGAGCGAGAAGUGGUUUGAGGAUUUGCAAAUAUUUGUUUAGUAUUGAAUAUGUGCCAAGCACACAUUACAGAAUACGUUACUUAUGGGAAGUAACUUAGCCUUGAAGUAGCUCUGUGAGGAUGCAUGUGUUUCCUUUACCUAUAAUUCUAUAGGAAAGGCAAUUUUUAAAAAUAAAUCAAGGUUGGAUUUCAUCAAUUUUACAGAAUACGCAUAACUUUAUAAAAUUUUCAAAAUUCUCUAAAAACCUAUUGAGAUAAUUAAACAAGCGUUUUUCUCCUUUAGUCUGUUAAUGUGGAGAAGUAUUUUCUGAUGUUGAAACAUACUUGCAUUCCUGAUAUAAGCCAUACGUAUGAUAACAUAUUUUGCUUGUUUGCUAUUAUUAAUUCUGAAUUUGGUUCACUAAGAUUUUGUUUGAUUUUGCAUGUAUAUUUGUAAGUGAGAUUGGUCUAUAAUUUUCUUGUGUGGUUUUGGUAUCAUGCUAUAACAGCUUCUGAAAAUGUGUUAGAAAGUGUUUUCUUGUUAAAGUUUUAAACCUUCUGAGAAUUGGUUGAGGAGGAGCUUGAAAAUUUGUUAAAAUUCACCAUAAAAAUAUCAGGACCUGAAAUUUUGUUAUUGUUGUCAGUAAAUAAAAAUUAUCAACUGUCUUUUUAA